GUUUCAUUUCUACAUUCAGUUUUAGUCCAUCUGGAAUUUGGGUCUGACUGUGAAAGCCAGCUUCCCACUGCUUGGCUGUGUGGCACUUAACAUCUCAGGAUCCCCUGUCCCCACUUGACAGGUAAGACGUUAGGUCAGCACAUCUCCGAGGCUUCUUCCUAACGCACAGUUGUGAGAACUCGUUCCUCCUCUCUUCAGCCUGAAACCACAGUGAUGUUCCAGCCAGUGUGAAGCUAAAACCAAUUCACAGAUUUCCAAUAACCCUACAAAGAUAUGGUCACGUUCACACAGGGUCAGCUGCCAUCCCGUCUCUCUGCCUUUUUCUCCUCCACAAAUAAAAGAAAGCACAACGAGGCAGGUUUCUUAAUGCCCACCUCCUGGCUUUUAAUCAUUCCUCUUUGACAUUUCAGUUUCAACCACACUGCACGUACCAAGCCAAGAACGGAGGAGAAGCAUCUGUAACUAGAACUGUUAUGAAAACCAGAUAUCGGACUUUACUGGCAUUUCUGGAAGCUCCAGUUUGCAGGACUUGGAAGGGCAGGCCCCAAAGCAAGCAGCAAAGAGUACACUCUUCCAGGAAUUUGGGAAGAAGCUCCUGACUCCCCACGGCAAAAACAACCCUGAAGAGAGACAUGUGGGAUCUGGGGCCAAGGGGGCUUUUCUCAUCGCUGGGAGACGUGCUGGGUGAACUGGCUAUCCACUGAAGAAAGACCAAAGUAGAAGGAGAAAAGAUAGGACAACAUGGUUAUGACCUUGGAGUUGGAGUGGGCACCGCCUCAAGCAAACACAAAUCACAAAGGCAAACAGAAAGAGUGAUGUCAGCCUUUAUCAAAAUGUGGAACUUCUGAUUCAGAAUCAGGAAUCACUAGAAGCUGAGAUAAAGACAAACAACAAAGUUGGAGAAGGUAUUUGUAAUAUAUAUAGAUAGAUAGAUAGAUAUGUGUGCAUGUGAGUUCAGUUGCUUCAGUCAUGUCUGACUCUUUGAUACCUCUGAGACUGUAGCCUGCCGGGUUCCUCUGUCUACGGGAUUCUCCAGGCAAGAAUACUGGAGUGGGUUGCCAUUGCCUCCUCCAGAUCUUUCCAACUCAGAAAUCAAAUGUACAUCUCCUACGUCUCCUGUACUGCAGGCAGAUUCUUUACCACUGAGCCACCAGGGAAGCCCAUAAUAUGUGUGUGUACAUGUAUUUAGGUGUAUGUGUGUAUACAUAUACAGAUAUAUAUUUAUGUAUAUGCAGAAAUGGAUACACAUACACAUAAAAGCUGGAUUAUUAUCCAGACUUUGUUAAAAACUACUAUCAAUCUGUAGGAAAAAAGACCAAGACCAACAACCCAAUGGAAAAAUAGAUAAAAAGAUGAGCAGCCAGUUCAUAAGAUGGGAGGGUCCAGAGAGACCUUUGUUUUAUCUUGACAGUGCAAAUUUUUAAUACUUCCAGGGAGGGCUUAUUCUUAUAUGAAUUUUAUAAAGAAAAUAAAGAAGAAAAUCAUCUGAAGAUGAAACCCA
rnacentral:lncRNA from 1 species